rnacentral:rRNA from 1 species
UACGUGGGGAGCAAGCGUUGUUCGGAUUUACUGGGCGUAAAGGGCGCGUAGGCGGCGUAACAAGUCACUUGUGAAAUCUCCGGGCUUAACCCGGAGCGGCCAAGUGAUACUGUUGUGCUAGAGUGCGGAAGGGGCUACUGGAAUUCUCGGUGUAGCGGUGAAAUGCGUAGAUAUCGAGAGGAACGCCUGCGGCGAAGGCGGGUAGCUGGGCCGACACUGACGCUGAGGCGCGAAAGCCAGGGGAGCGAACGGG